rnacentral:rRNA from 1 species
AGUCGAGCGAGUCUGCCUUGAAGAUCGGAGUGCUUGCACUCUGUGAAACAAGAUACAGGCUAGCGGCGGACGGGUGAGUAACACGUGGGUAACCUGCCCAAGAGAUCGGGAUAACACCUGGAAACAGAUGCUAAUACCGGAUAACAACAGAUGAUGCCUAUCAACUGUUUAAAAGAUGGUUCUGCUAUCACUCUUGGAUGGACCUGCGGUGCAUUAGCUAGUUGGUAGGGUAACGGCCUACCAAGGCGAUGAUGCAUAGCCGAGUUGAGAGACUGAUCGGCCACAUUGGGACUGAGACACGGCCCAAACUCCUACGGGAGGCAGCAGUAGGGAAUCUUCCACAAUGGACGCAAGUCUGAUGGAGCAACGCCGCGUGAGUGAAGAAGGGCUUCGGCUCGUAAAGCUCUGUUGUUGGUGAAGAAGGACAGGGGUAGUAACUGACCUUUGUUUGACGGUAAUCGAUUAGAAAGUCACGGCUAACUACGUGCCAGCAGCCGCGGUAAUACGUAGGUGGCAAGCGUUGUCCGGAUUUAUUGGGCGUAAAGCGAGUGCAGGCGGCUCGAUAAGUCUGAUGUGAAAGCCUUUGGCUCAACCGGAGAAUUGCAUCAGAAACUGUCGAGCUUGAGUACAGAAGAGGAGAGUGGAACUCCAUGUGUAGCGGUGAAAUGCGUAGAUAUAUGGAAGAACACCGGUGGCGAAGGCGGCUCUCUGGUCUGUUACUGACGCUGAGGCUCGAAAGCAUGGGUAGCGAACAGGAUUAGAUACCCUGGUAGUCCAUGCCGUAAACGAUGAGUGCUAAGUGUUGGGAGGUUUCCGCCUCUCAGUGCUGCAGCUAACGCAUUAAGCACUCCGCC